UUUGAUGCUUGUGUGGUUUAUAAAGUCUUUUUACAUGCAUAUUAUAAUUCAAAAUGUUUUUUUUUUCCUGUCAGAAAAGCACAUGGAUACAUUUGUGAGAGAAAAACUCUUCGAGUGAUGUCUUAUUGAGGCGUCUAACGGUUGGAACAAACAUGGAAUUCCUUAACCAAGCAGAGUCCACAAAACCCCAUCCAAUUGUCGUGGCGAUUUAAAAAUGCCAGCAGAUCUCUCAGGCAUUGAUCAUAAUCAAUGGACAGGUCACCGUAGCCACCAGAUCCAGUCUGUAUCCAGAUCAGAGGAUCAUUGCAGUCACCCGGAUCCAGUACGUAUCCAGACCAGAUGGUGGAUCAGCACCUAGAAAGGACCUCUACAUCCCUGAAAGACAGCGGAGACCAGGACAACUAGAGCCCAGAUACAGAUCCCCUGUAAAGACCUUGUCUCAGAGGAGCACCAGGACAAGACCACAGGAAACAGAUGAUUCUUCUGCACAAUCUGACUUUGCUGCAGCCUUAAAUUGAACUACUGGUUUCGUCUGGUCAGAGGAGAACUUGCCCCCCAACUGAGCCUGGUUUCUCCCAAGGUUUUCUUCUCCAUUCUGUCACCGAUGGAGUUUUGGUUCCUUGGUUUUCCUUAGUUGGGGACCUUUAAGAUCAAGCGAUAUCAUCGACUUGAUUGCACAGAGGGACGAUACAUCACUGAAUCAAUGAUGAACUGACUUUAACUGAAAACUGAGUGUUUACUGUUAUCCCUUUGCAUUAUUACACACUAUUUUCCUAUUUAAUACUGUAAAGCUGCUAUGAUGCAGUAUUUGCUUAAUAUGACAGGCUUAUUAGUCAUAAUACAUGGAAAAUACAGCUGCAAAGGGACUUUGCUUUUCCAUUUGAAAUUUGGCAGUCACUGUGCAUUCAUUAAAAAUGAAACAGUAAUUUUUGUUCAGUGUUUUUGAAAGUGUUUUUGUUAAAGAUUUGCAAUUGUGUUUGGAUUGUCACAUGUGGAAAACGCAAUUGAAAAUAUAAUUUGUAAUUCCUUUUGAAAAUUGUCCUUCCGUUGACAGCCUCUAAAGCAGACUACACUGCUCUCAGGUGUAGAUCUUUGCUUCAGAGCUUAAGUGUUUGACAAUAGUUCACCCAAAAAUGAAAAUUGUCACUAAUUAUUCACCCUGGUCUGAAAGCUCUCGAAUAUCAUCGAAAAUAUCUUAACUUGUGUUCUGAAGAUGAACAAAGGUCUUACGGGUUUGUAACGACAUGAAGUUGAGUAAUAAAUGACAGAAUUUUCAUUUUUGGGUGAACUAUAUGUUGAACUACCCUAAGCAGUGCACAUCUACCUACAUAGGAGUCUUUAUACUUGAUAUACAUUUAAG